UACAGAGGGGGCAAGCGUUGUUCGGAAUUACUGGGCGUAAAGGGCGCGUAGGCGGCCUGUUAAGUCGAACGUGAAAUCCCCGGGCUCAACCCGGGAACUGCGUCCGAAACUGGCAGGCUCGAAUUCGGGAGAGGGAUGCGGAAUUCCAGGUGUAGCGGUGAAAUGCGUAGAUAUCUGGAGGAACAUCGGUGGCGAAGGCGGCAUCCUGGACCGAUAUUGACGCUGAGGCGCGAAAGCCAGGGGAGCAAACGGGAUUAGAUACCCCGGUAGUCCUGGCCCUAAACGAUGAAUGCUUGGUGUGGCGGGUAUCGAUCCCUGCCGUGCCGAAGCUAACGCGAUAAGCAUUCCGCCUGGGGAGUACGGUCGCAAGGCUG
rnacentral:rRNA from 1 species